AAAAGGUACGCCGGUUAGGGAUGAUUAGAUUUAGUAUUAGGUAGUCGGUUGGGUUAAGCUUACCGAGCCAAAGAUGCUUAGUUGGUCUGUGAGGACGAUCAAUCACACUGGGACUGAGACAAGGCCCAGGUUUCAUUUGAAGGCAGCAGUAAGGAAUAUUGGACAAUGAGCGAAAGCUUGAUCCAGCAAGGCUUGGUGAGGGAUUGAAGGCUAAGGUUGUAAACCUCUUUUUUAACCUAGGAUAAUGACAUUAAGUUAAGAAUAAGUCCCGACUAACUUCGUGCCAGCAGUCGCGGUAAUACGAAGGGGGCUAGCCUUAUUCGUCAUAACUGGGCGUAAAGGGUCCGUAGGUAGCUCUUUGUAAUGUUAUAGGUCAAAUCCUUUAGCUAAACUAAAGAAAGGUCUUUAAUACAGAAGAACUUGAGUCUGAUAAAGGAUAAUGGAAUUUUUCAACUAGGGGUAAAAUCCAUAGAAGUGGAAACGAACAUCAAAUGCGAAAGCGAUUAUCUAGUUCAGUACUGACGCUGAGGGACGAAGGCAUAGGUAGCGAACAGGAUUUGAGACCCUGGUAGUCUAUGCUGUCAACGAUGAAUGCUAGUUUUUAGAUCAUUAGAAACUAUAGCUAAGGCAUUAAGCAUUCCGCCUGAGGAGUACGAGCGCAAGCUUAAAAAUCAACGGAAUUGGCGGGGGUUCAAACAAGUGGUGGAGCAUGUGGUUUAAUGCGAUAAUACGCGCGCAACCUUACCAGUUCUAGUAAGUCUGUCAUUCUUGCGGAGACGUUUUGAAUUUUGGGACUUUCAGGUGUUGCAUGGCUGUCGUCAGCUCGUGUCGUGAGAUGUACGGUUAAUUCCUGUAACUGAGCGCAACCCUAAU
rnacentral:rRNA from 1 species